rnacentral:rRNA from 1 species
CAGCAGCCGCGGUAAUACAGAGGGUGCAAGCGUUAAUCGGAUUUACUGGGCGUAAAGGGCGCGUAGGUGGUUAUUUAAGUGAGAUGUGAAAGCCCCGGGCUUAACCUGGGAACUGCAUCUUAUACUGGGUAACUGGAGUGCAGUAGAGGGUAGUGGAAUUUCCGGUGUAGCGGUGAAAUGCGUAGAUAUCGGAAGGAACACCAGUGGCGAAGGCGGCUACCUGGACUGAGACUGACACUGAGGCGCGAGAGCGUGGGGAGCAAACAGGAUUAGAUACCCCUGUAGUCCCUGUCUCUUAUAC